AAGGCCGGAUGCCGGAUUGCUUUGGUUGUAUGCUUGGUAAUUAAAUAUAAUAUUACUGCCAUGACUAAAUAUGUGCUUAUGCAAACUUUCAGGAAAUGUUGAAACAUGCUUUAAGGCUAACAUGUGGAAUGCAUGCAGGUAAAUUAAAAGGGAUCAGUUGCAAGAGGUUGCAACAGGAAAAUGAAUUUGCACACAAAAGAUUGAGGAAGAGAAGGCGCCGAACCAUCUAAGGAAGACCAUGUUGCCACAAGCAUGACCCCUCCCAAAGUUCGACAAACCCUUCUAUCCACAAAGGUGAGCAUAAACCCCCAAAUUAUAUCGUUUCCAUUGGUUACCUUCCUGGAGGUUUGUCAUAUCAUAAGCCUACAACUGAUAUUUCGUCGGAGGUCA